ACUGUGUGUAGUGAGGAGAGACUGAAGAGGAACAGAGGGCCUUCCGGUGCGGGGGUCUCCAUCUGUCCAAGGCUGCCGGGGGUCUGGGCAGUCCUACUGAGAAGUGCUGAGAGGGCCCUGGGCCCUUGUGGUGCGUCGGCAGGGGCCUCACAGUUGCAGCCCAGCUCCACACAAUGCUUCAGCACCACUCUCCUGCCAGCUGGCCAAGCUCACUUCCUUACAAACAGAGAGCUUCCUGCACGCUGGAUAAUUUCAUCUGUCUUUUGGUCUCACCCGGUCAGACUCACGUCCACCUACGAGACGUCCCCACAGCUCACGUUCGUAUCAGUAGAGGAGUGAAGGAGAGUAAAAAUGAUGGAGACGCUGGGGCUGACAUUGGCUGCUGAGACAGAGUGAAAGCUCAGGUCACAGGGCUGGGAGACUGCGAGCCGCUGGACGGUCCGAUCGGUCGACCCACCGCAGUGACCGAGCUUCAUCUACAAACUCGCAAUAAAUAUCCAGCCGUCAUUUAUUUUAAUUCCCCU
rnacentral:lncRNA from 1 species